rnacentral:rRNA from 1 species
GGAUGGCCCUGUUGCAGGACUAAAGACCGCUUUCUAAUCCAUUGAUCUUCGGAUUAAUAUUCAUAACAUCUGGCCUCAAAUCAGGUAGGACUACCCGCUGAACUUAAGCAUAUCAAUAAGCGGAGGAAAAGAAACUAACAAGGAUUCCCCUAGUAACGGCGAGUGAAGCGGGAAGAGCUCAAAUUUGAAAUCUGGUAGCCUUCGGUUGCCCGAGUUGUAAUCUAGAGAAGUGUUUUCCGCGUUGGCCCAUGUACAAGUCCCUUGGAACAGGGCGUCAUAGAGGGUGAGAAUCCCGUCCUUGACAUGGACCCCCAAUGCUUUGUGAUACACUUUCAACGAGUCGAGUUGUUUGGGAAUGCAGCUCAAAAUGGGUGGUGAAUUCCAUCUAAAGCUAAAUAUUGGCGAGAGACCGAUAGCGAACAAGUACCGUGAGGGAAAGAUGAAAAGCACUUUGGAAAGAGAGUUAAACAGUACGUGAAAUUGUUGAAAGGGAAACGAUUGAAGUCAGUCAUGCUCUUUGGAUUAAGCCGUUCUGCGGUGUAUUUCAUUGAGCGGGGUCAACAUCAGUUUUGAUCGCUGGAAAAGGGCAGGAGGAAGGUAGCACUCUCGGGUGAACUUAUAGCCUCUUGUCGUAUACAGUGAUUGGGACUGAGGAACGCAGCAUGCCUUUUGGCCGGGAUUCGUCCACGUACAUG